GUCAGAAGCUUGCUUCAUGCUAUGCGCAUCCUGCUCUGGUAAAUCCAAAAUGCUCCUCACUGUAAAACUGAUCCUGGCAGGAAUUUCACCCGCUAUUUGUUUUAUUUUCCCGGGCCGUUCGUCGCUCUCUCUCCUUGCCAGUGGCAGCGUUCCGACCCUCAGCCCCUCCCGGGGCUUUCACACCUCCGCGGGAAAGGCUGCUGCGUGCGUACGUUCUGGGGACCGUGUGCUACGUCUCC
rnacentral:lncRNA from 1 species